CCAGUGCAGGGCAACACUAUUUUCAUUACUUUAAAACACUUAUUUUUUGAUGUUACUGUUCCUUUAAGUUUUAACCAUUCCAUCUCACUUGCUGUACCAUUCCAUUGGAGUUAGUAUUUGGAAUGAGAAAUAAAAUAGAUUUGUAGCAUGUGGGAGGUCUCUUGCAAUUCCAUAUGAUUUUGUUUUUUUAAUACUUUUUUUGUUUUCUUUAUUCACAAUUGCAGUACCGCCGCAAACAUCGCGGCCUGACUCGGGCAGUGACCAGGACCAGGACGACGCCGCUCAGCAACCCCAGGAAGAGGGUGAGGCUGAAGAUCGUGAUAGAGCCCCGGAAGCUCAAGAACACCGAGCUGAAAGCCGCGCCCAGUCACCAGCUGUGAUACCUGUGGUGCCCCCCAGACGUCGUGCUGCUGCCACUGCUGCUGCUGCAGCAAUUGG